CAAAGAUUUCAGAGCCAGGUGGGAGGGUGCGAUGCAAGAGGCUUAUCUCGGGCCUGCAAAGUGAAUAAUUAGUGGCAAGGGCUCCUAAAGAGGCCACGCCCUCAGAGGAAAGGUGGGCUGAGGACAACCUCCUGCUAUCAAAAGCAGAUAGUGAGGGUGCUGGCUUCGGCAGCACAUAUACUAAAAGCAGAUAGUGAGGAAAGAUGUUUUCUUGAGUCUGUGGAGGGCGAUAAAACAUCUCCCCCAGGAGUGGUAGCGUCAGGCUCACCCUCACAGAGGCUUUCGGCCCACAUGUGCAUUCAUUUUGUAGCCCAGAAAAGCUGUUAGUUAGAAAGUCAGUGGUGCCCAGAGCAGCCUAGCAAGAACAAGGGAAAAAUGGAAACAUAGGGACCCAGCAAAUGUGAGCUCACACAGAAAGCAAAAACCUACAAGAAAAGAAACAACCAUGAUUGAGAGGCAGCAGGCACAAUCUGCGACUACAGAGGCCGAAGACCUGACAACUGAUCUCACAGGAUACAGGGUCCCCACUGCCUGGGGACCACAGCACCUAUCAUCAGAGCCCAAGGUCCCUCCAUCCGGGGUUCCAGGGGGAGCAUGACUCGACUGGAGACAAAAACCAAAUGCAUUUCAAGAAGAAAAGGGAGAAAAGGGCAGAGCCUCCUCUGUGAUGAGCAUGGGUACCAUAUUCUCCGCAGAGCAUGGCCCGCCCAGCCCAGCUGCUGUACUAGGCCAGGGAUCAAACUUGGGACCUUGUGCUUUCAAGGCAGGCGCCGGAACCGUGGAGCUAAAUCCCCGGCCCUGAUUCAGCCACUUGGGAAGACAGUUUGGGAGUUUCUUACAAAGCUAAGCAUACUCUUACCACACUCUAUCCACUGCAUUCCUUAGUAUUUACCCAAAUGAGGACAUGUCUAUGCAAAAACCUGCACAUGCGUGUUUAUGAUAGCUGUAUUCAUAAUCACCAAAACUUGAGAGCACCCAAGACAUCCUUCAGUAAGUGAACUGAUAGACAAACUGUACAUCUAGACAAUGAGAUGUUAUUCCAUAAUAGAAAGAAAUUAACUAUAUCUCAAACAUUAGACACAGAAUGCAAUAUGAUCCAGCAAAUCCACUUCCAGGUUUACAGCCAAGAGAACUGGAAGCAAGGCCCCAAAGAAGAGGUACUUGUGCAACCAAUGUUCUCAACUGAUUUGUCCACAACAGCUGAAAUGUAGAAGCAAUCCAAGAGUCCAUUAAUGAAUAAAUAGAUAAGCAAAAUGUGGUCCGUCUAUAAAUAGAAUAUUAUUACUCAGCCUCAAGAAGGACGGAAAUUCUGACACAUACUAGAGCAUGUAUGAACCUCGAGGAAUAAACCAGUCACAAAAGGACAAAUAUUGUGUGAUCCUACUCACUGAGGUUUCCGGUGGAGUCAGAUUCAUAGAGACAGAAAGUAGAACGGUGGUGCUGGGAAAGCGGGUAGGGAAUCAGCAUUUAAUGAGGGCAGAGUUUCAGUUUUCCAAGAUGAAAAAGCUCUGUCAGUGGCCCGUGGUGAUGGUUGCACAACAAACGGAAUGUGCCGCAUGCCCCUGAACUGUGCACUAAAAAUGACUAAGGUGGUAAAUUCUUUUUUUUUUUUUUUUUGGUACCAGGGAUUGAACUCGGACCUUGUGCUUUCGAGGCAGGUGCCGGAACCACUGAGCUAAAUCCCUGGCCCUAAGGUGGUAAAUUCUAUGUGUAUUUUUCCACAAUAAAAAAAUAAUGGCAUAGGAGGGGCUGGAGAUUUAGCUCAGUGGUUCCGCCGCCUGCUGCGCAAGCACAAGGACUCGAGUUCGAUCCUCGAUACCAAAAUAAAUAAAUAAUAAUAAUAAUGGCAUAAACUAGAGCUAUAAAACUAUGAAAAGACAGAGGAAACUUGAAUGCACAUUGCUUAGUGGGAGAAGCCAAUCUGAAAAGGCAGCAUCCUGUAUGAUCCUAGCAUGUGACAUUCAGAAAAGGAGAAAAUAUAGAGACAGUAAAAUAAUUGGUGUUUUCCAGGGACUGGGGGAGGGAUGAGCAAAAUGAAGAGGAUUUUCUAAGGCAGCAAAUCUAUUCUGUAGGAUAUUACAAUGACAGAUAUACAUUUGUCAGAACCCAUAGAAUAUAUGACAGAAUGGUGACCCUAAGGUCAACUACAGACUUUGGGUGGCAAAGAUGUGUCAGCAUAGGUUCAUAGGUUGUAACAAAGGUACCUCUAUGGACGGAGGCAUUGAAAAUAUGGGACACUGUGGGUAUAGGGGACAGAGGAAUUUGGGAGUCGUAUAUACAACUCAAGUUUGCCAUGAACCUAAAACUACUAUUAUUUUUUAAAAGUCUAUUUUUUAAAAAUUUCCCUCAAAUUACUUAGUUUUAAAUCUAGCCAAUCAGCAUCUGCAUAAAAAUUACAAAACACUGAUAAAAGAAAGCUAAGAAUGCCUGAGUGGGGAGACAAAAUGCACUCAUGGACUUAAAGAGUCAAACAGUGACAAUGUCAACUCUCCCAAAGCUGAUUUGCAGAUUUAAUAGGAUUCCAAAAAUCUUAGGAUCUUGUAGACAUAGGCAAAUAUUUAUGAAGUUUCUUUGGCUAGGAAAAAAAAAAUUAGAAUAGCCAAAAGCAAUUUUGAAAUAAAGUUGGAGGAAUGAUACUACCUGACUUUAAAGAUUUUUUAAAAUAGUGACAGUAAUCCAGACAGUAUGGUAUUGAUAAAGGGAUAGAUGCAUAGAUUAAUGAAAGGAGUUGAGUUUAGGCAACAGCCCUUACAAAUAAAACCAACUGAUUUCUGACAAAGGUGCAAAGACAAUUGGAUUGGAGAAGUACCUUUGUUUCUUCUUUUUUUUUUUUGGUACCAGGUAUUGAACUCAGGACUUUGCGCUUGAGAGGAAGGUGGCCGAACCACUGAGCUAAAUCCCCGGCCCUGGAGAAGUACCUUUGACCACUUGUGUUGCUUAACAAAAUACCUGAGACUGAGUGACUUGAAAACAAUAGAAAUUUAUUCAGACAGUUCUGUAGGCUGGGUAGUCCAAGGUGAAGGUAUUGGCAUUUGGCAUCUGAUGUGGGUCUUGUUGCUUCAUUCUCACCUGGUAGAAGAGUAAAAAUGGCCUAAGCUUGUUCCUUCCAGCCCAAUUACAAGGCACAGAUCCAUUAAUGAUGAGGGCAGAGCCCUGUGAUUCUCCACCGGCCCCAUGUCUUAACACCACCACAACAGGGACUUUGCUUCACAAUGUGAUUUUGGGGGGACACACUCCCACCAUAGCAAGAAGGGACAGCCUUUUCCAACAAAUGACAUUGAAACAAUUGAGUAUCCAAUAUGGAAAAACAUUGCAACCUAAACUCUAUACUUUGCACAAAAUUAAAUCAUAGAUCAAAAUACAAAACUGUGAAACAUUUGGCAUACAAUAGAAGAAAAUUUUUGUGACCUUGAAUAAAAAAUGAAUAACAACACUCGGGGAUUGUUUGUUUGGAUAUAAAAGGUCAUGGAACAAAAUCUCAUUGUCCUUGCCAAAGCCACAGGGCGAACUUGGCUGUGGCAGUGAUUGGUGGAAGAGGAUUGAGUGGGCUCUUUGGAAGGAAUAUAACUCCUCUGCACCCCUUUCUUCACCAACUGUUCAGUCUUUGGGGGCCUCAUGAUUAUUUUAUAGGAACAGUGAAUGGAUGUAUACCUGUAUGCAAAAGAACCUUAAGUACAAAACACCAAGACAAACAUUAAAAACAAACAAACAUCAAAGCAGCAUGGUCAUGUAUGUCUAUAAUCCCAGCACUUGGGAAGCUGAGGCAGGGGGAUCACCAUGAGUUUGAAGCCAGGCUGGGCUACAGAGUGAGUUUAAGGCCAGCCUGUACUCCAUAGUGAGAAUAUAUAUCAGAAAGAGGUCUACAACAGAAAAAUCAACUUGGAAAAAGAGAAGACUUGGCUAUUGAAGGGUUAUAGAUCUACAGAAAUCAAGAUCGAAUGGCACUGAUGUCAAGAGGGACUCAUGGUUCUCAGCUACGACACCAGUCCAUGGAGCCAUUGUUAGGGGCUGAAUUCCUGACUCCCAGCACCUCAGAAUGUGACUGUAUUUGGAUAUAGGUCCUUUAAAGAAGUGGUUAAUGUAAAAUAAGGCCACUCAGUGAGCUCUAACCUAACUGACUGAGAUCGUAUAAAAAGAGAUCAGAACCCAGACACACAGGGAGAAGAUGCCAUCUGCAAACCCAGGAGAGAGGCCUCGAGAGAAACUUGGAUUUCCAGCCUCCAGGAUGUGAGAAAAUAAAUGCUGUUUACGCCACUAAGUUGCGAUGUUUGUAAUGGUGGUCUCAGCUGCCAAAUGCAGCAAUGUCAAGUCAUUUUACGAUGUUUCCCUUGGGGGAGGCACUGCUGGGGCAGUGGGCAGGACCAAUGAUUUGGUUUAGCACCUUGUGAUGCCCAGGAUGGUGCCCCCAGCGGAGAAUCAUCUGCCUCAAACUGUUAACAGUGCUGUGGCUGAGAAACCGUGAUUAGUAAAUGAGAUAAGUAAAUGAGAAAUAAAUCAGUGAAACAGAAUAAGGAGUCCAGAAAUAGACCCCUAAUUCUUAUCAAAUUAAACAUAUAUGGAUCACAUGGCUCAGCAAUUCUACUUGCAAAUGUUUAUUUGGGUGAAAGAGAAGUAUGUUCACAUAGACACCCUGCACCUGUAUUCAGAAUUACCAAAAGCCAGAGAAAAUGAAAUAAAUCAGAAACAGAAGGUUAACUAUCACACGGUUUCUCUUAUAUGAGAAACCCAAAAUAUAAAUAAUUUAGAGGACAAAAUAAAAGAUGACAGGGAACAGGGAGAUAGAUUUUGUGGAGAUGGAGAGAGACACUUGAAGAUCCAGGGAGACAGGCAGCGGGGAAGGGGAAGUAAAAAUAAAAGAAAAAAAACCAG
ensembl:lncRNA